AUUAAAACGCUGGCGGCAUGCCUUACACAUGCAAGUCGAACGGCAGCACGGGGGCAACCCUGGUGGCGAGUGGCGGACGGGUGAGUAAAGCAUCGGAACGUAUCCUGGAGUGGGGGAUAACGUAGCGAAAGUUACGCUAAUACCGCAUAUUCUGUGAGCAGGAAAGCAGGGGAUCGCAAGACCUUGCGCUCUGGGAGCGGCCGAUGUCGGAUUAGCUAGUUGGUGGGUAAAGCCUACAAGGCGACGAUCCGUAGCGGGUCUGAGAGGAUGAUCCGCCACACUGGGACUGAGACACGGCCCAGACUCCUACGGGAGGCAGCAGUGGGAAUUUUGGACAAUGGGCGGAAGGCCUGAUCCAGCCAUGCCGCGUGAGUG
rnacentral:rRNA from 1 species